CCUACGGGUGGCAGCAGUGAGGAAUAUUGGUCAAUGGACGGGAGUCUGAACCAGCCAAGCCGCGUGAGGGAGGACGGCCCAGUGUAUUGUAAACUUCUUUUGUAUGGGAAUAAACUGUUCCACGUGUGGCCUUUUGUGUGUACCCUAUGAAUAAGCAUCGGCUAACUCCGUGCCAGCAGCCGCGGUAAUACGGAGGAUCCGAGAGUUAUCCGGAUUUAUUGGGUUUAAAGGGUGCGUAGGUGGAUUGUUAAGUCAGUUGUGAAAGGUUGCGGCUCAACCGUAAAAUUGCAGUUGAAACUGGCAGUCUGGAGUAGAGUAGAGGUGGGCGGAAUGCGUGGUGUAGCGGUGAAAUGCUUAGAUAUCACGAAGAACUCCGAUUGCGAAGGCAGCUCACCGGAUCGAAACUGACACUGAGGCUCGAAAGUGUGGGUAUCAAACAGGAUUAGAUACCCUAGUAGUC
rnacentral:rRNA from 1 species